GUAUUAUCUUUGGUAGCACAUAUAUUAAAUUUGCAAUAAUACAGAGAAGAUUAGCAUGGUUCCUGUACAGGAAAGACACACAAAAUCAUGAAACAUUCCAUAUUUUU
ensembl:snRNA U6 U6 spliceosomal RNA